AAGACCCUAUCAAACUUUACUUUAGUUUAACUGGGGCAGUUAAUUAAUAAAAAUUUUAAUAAAGAUUAAGUACUAAAUAGANNNCCCAACANUAGUUGAUUACANUGAACAAGUUACUGUAGGGAUAACAGCGUAAUAUAUAUCUAAAGUUCUUAUUUUGAUAUAAGUUUGCGACCUCGAUGUUGAAUUNAUAUUACUUUCAAGCGCAAGAGCCUGAAAAGUGGGUCUGUUCGACCCCUAAAUAUAUACAUGAUUUGAGUUCAAAUCGGUGUAAACCAGAUUGGUUUCUAUCUAUUNUUAUUUGUGUCUUAGUACGAAAGGACCUGAAACAAUAUUAUAUAAUNAUUUAUAUGGCAGAAAAAUGCUUUAGAUUUAGGAUCUAAUUAUAAUAGAUUAUUAUACUCUAUUUAACUUGCCUAAUCUCUGUUAUUAGAAUCCUUAUCGCAGUAGCUUUUUAUACCCUCCUAGAGCGAAAAAUUCUAAGCUACAUCC
rnacentral:rRNA from 1 species